GACGAACGCUGGCGGCGUGCCUAAUACAUGCAAGUCGAACGGGAGCGACCGGUGCUUGCCCUGGUCAAUCUAGUGGCGAACGGGUGAGUAACACGUGGGUAACCUGCCCAUCAGAGGGGGAUAACAUCCGGAAACGGAUGCUAAAACCGCAUAGGUCUUCGAACCGCAUGGUUUGAAGAGGAAAAGAGGCGCAAGCUUCUGCUGAUGGAUGGACCCGCGGUGCAUUAGCUAGUUGGUGAGGUAACGGCUCACCAAGGCCGUGAUGCAUAGCCGACCUGAGAGGGUGAUCGGCCACAUUGGGACUGAGACACGGCCCAGACUCCUACGGGAGGCAGCAGUAGGGAAUCUUCCGCAAUGGACGCAAGUCUGACGGAGCAACGCCGCGUGAGUGAAGAAGGUCUUCGGAUCGUAAAACUCUGUUGUUAGAGAAGAACAAGUGCUAGAGUAACUGUUAGCGCCUUGACGGUAUCUAACCAGAAAGCCACGGCUAACUACGUG
rnacentral:rRNA from 1 species